rnacentral:rRNA from 1 species
CAACCUUCCACCGCCCCUCACACUUCUCCCCCAUUCUUUCCUCACUCCCUCCUAAUCUCGCGAUCACCAUCCACAGCCCGAGCUCUCUGGUGGCCGCCCCUCCCCUUCGUCAGCGACGCCGGCGGACAAGAAGGCCCCUGUCUGCCCCGCCCCUCCCCUUCGUCAGCACCGCCUGCGGGCGCGCAAGCCCCUGGUCUGCCCCACCCCUCCCCUUCGUCAGCGACGCCGGCGGACGCGUAGGCCCCGGCUCUGCCCGGCCCCUCCCCUUCAUCAGCACCGCCGGCGGGCGCGCAAGCCCCUGCUCUGCCCGCCCCUUCUUCCUACCCGGUGACGCCGGGGCCCUUCCUUCUCUGGCGACGGCGGGGCGCUCGAGCUCGGCAUGCUCGCCAGCGACGGCGAGGCCUUCCCUCAUGGUGAUGCACUCGCCCCCCUCCUCCUGGCGACGGUGGGCCGCUCAUGCUCGACAUGGUCGCCGGCGACACCGCGCCACGAACUUCCCUCCCCCCUGCUCGGGACGCCAUGAAGGACCAAGAGCAGUUGCUGCUCGUGACCUCCAUCUUGAUUAGGAUGACCACGAUGACCUUCGCGUGCUGUGCUGCUGCUUGGGACCCUCCCCCCUAUGCUUCUCCUCGCUCGUCCUGGUCCAGAUUUUUUUGUGAUGCAAGUAAUGGGGAAAUACAAAAAACACCUAAUGCCGAUUGCUUUGAGCCGUUGUAUUACAAGUGGCCGUGUUGGACAGGAGGGGCCAGAGAAGUGCUUCCGGUUGUUUGAAGAAUGUGAGUCUGACAUCAUAGGUUUCCAUUUUAUGAAGAAACCAUCAAGGUGAGUUUGGCACUUAUGUUUUAUUAUUAUUGCUGCUCAUGUGUGGUUGAAAGUUAGAUGCUAGUAAUUUCAGCCAAAUUUGCAAUAUCAUGUCUGCUGUUUUGCUUUAUUUGCAAUAUUUCAUUUUUUGUGACAAUGAUUCCAGCCAGCUUAAAUUUUGCUGGUAAAGCCAACUUCUGUCCUGGGUGUAUGUGUAAUAUAGAAGUAAUAACACUCGGCAUUAACAAGAAGCAAGCCUGCUAAAACAUGAAACCAUGUAAUCCAAGUGUUCUUCAGUUUUCUUAUUAUAAAUAACCAGUUGUAUACCUAAAUCAGAUAUACUAAAACAUAACCCAUUCGCAUCAUUACCAGAACAGGGAAAUCUGCUAGGAUCAUUGACAGAACUGAUGGAAUAUUGAAAAUUCCAGUGAUCAUAAAUUUGCACUUCUUCAUUUCGGGACAAUUGAUAUGUCAAUGCUCUUCUAGAAAUAAAUAACACAAAUAAACGACUCCGGCAUACAGAGUUGGAGGUUACAUCGACACCAUUCUUCUUUCAUGCUUAUUAUGUGUGGCAUUUUGAUUAAAACCUGCAAAUAAAAUAAGAGAAAAUUGUUGGGCUCAGAAUUAGUUAUAUAGGUACAAUAAUAUGCUGAUGAUCUUGCCCUGUUCUUGAGACCGUCGCUCCAAGAUCUUAUAUUUGUUAAAGCCACCCUUGGCAUCUUCGGUGAGGGCCACAUGCAAGUCUACCUGCUAACUCAAGCCAUUAGCUCGGUGGAGAGGAACAUUGACGAGCCGGAUCAGUUCGACUGGCCCUGCGACGCGUCUGGCAAAUACACAGCCAGCUCUACCUAUAUGAGGCUCUGCAUUGGAUACACGCGUGCCCCGGCUGCCGGUUGCAUUUCGCGAAGUUGGGCCCCUCUCAAAUGCAAAAUCUUCAUGUGGUUGGCCUGUCAAUACCGGCUAUGGACUUCGGACCGCCGUGCCCGGCAUGGCCUUCAAGACGCCCCAUCCCCUUGCUAUACUUGUCUCCAAGAUGAGGACAACGCGGAUCACAUUCUCGUGCAGCGCGUCUACGCCUGCGAGGUGUGGCACUCCUGUUUCAGCUCAUGGAGAUUCACCAUCCACACGCCAGACGCAAACGCCACAUUCUUGCAAUGGUGGCUUGAGCAAAGGAGUAGAUUCAGAGGGAAGGCCAAGAGAUCCGUGGACUCCGUCGUGAUUCUCAUCGCAUGGGCACUCUAGAAGCAACGCAAUGCACGAGUCUUCAAUAACAGAUCGCGACAGAGAUCCCCCCUGCAUCUUACAGAUGAUAUCCAACAGGAGAUAGAGGAUUGGAAGAAGGCCGGUCUCGGCGGUGCUGGAGCUUUAGAUGCUUUUACGAGAGAGUAGCCUUUGAUUUCUAGGGUGUAGGUGUGGUGUGUGUCCUCCCCGUCGACUUGUUCGCAUCUCGUUCGAGCUCUUGUACAUAUUAUUCUGCCUUCUAUAAAAAUAUGGUAUACCAUUGGC